UGCUUUCUUUCUUUUCUUGGCUAAGAAAUGACAUUGAAAAAAGAGUUUGCCUAAUAUUGUUUCUGAUUUACAAAGUGAAUUCCUGUACUUAGAAUUAGAGUUCUAAGGAAUUCCUCAGUAUUACUAGUUGUGGAAUUGACAAUAUUACUUUUUCUUUUUUGUCUAUUAUUAAUUUGAGUAAAUUUUCAAACUUGUUCAAACAGAGGUGUAAUUAUCAAGCUUGUUUUGGCUUCUAUAGUUGGAGAUUGAGUGUUGUAGCGAUUGGGUCUUGUAACUAUUUCUUUAGCAUGGGAUGACUUUUUUCUUACAUUUUUCUACAUGUUAUUUGACUAUUUUGGACAGAAAUUUGUUGCAUAUAAUAUUCCUGAUUCCGUUGUAACAUGUGAUUUUGGAUUUAUGGUUUUAUGAGCUUUACAUGUUUGUUUAUAGACUGUCCAUUCUUUUCUGUUGUUGGAGAAUUCUUCACGUUCUCUGCUUCUUUUGGAUUGAAUAUGACUAUUUUUUUUUCCUUACCAGUAGAAACUGAGAAAUUUAUCUUUUCGAAUGAUUUUGACAGUUGAUAUUAUACCCAGUGUUUAUGGGAAAACAAUUUGGUGUCUGCUCAUUAUAUUGAUCUUUCAUGAUCUGAAUGAUAUUAGUAACUGUUAAUAGCUGGAUACUGUUAACUAUCUCAAAAAAUCAAUGUACUGCCAAGAAGAAACUUAUGAAUUGACAUACUGUACACGGCUAUGGAAGCUACUAACUGGUCACUUAUGCAGUUCAUCACAUGACAGUUGAAAUUACUAGCACUGGUUGUUGUUGUUGGAAUUUGGAAGUAUAUUGAAUCAAUAUCAACAUUCAAAGGCGGAGUUUCUUUGUACUUAGCGACCCAACACACAGCUGACAGAAGAACAAAUGAGGGAAAGGUGGCUUGAGAGUGUUGGUGGUCCCACUAGGUUUGGCAUAGCUUACGGAAUGCCACAUAGUGUAGACUAGUUUAAUGUUUUGUGGAUGUUUGCAAAUGUUGAAGUUGUUUAAUGUUGUUUUGAUGUUUGCGAAGGUUGAAGUAGCUUAAUGUCUCUUGUGAAUGUUUGAUUGACGUUUUUAUUCAACUUUGAAGUAGUUUCGAAUUGAAUUUGAUGUAUUGGUGGUUGUAAUAUAUGUGUUGUAAUAGUAGCUUAAUGUUUUAUGUA